AUGGAGAGCUUGUCGCCGGCGAUGAAGGCGGUGUACGAAUUCCUCAAGGCCGACCUGGCGGAAUCCCUCGAUGCCCGCUUCAAGCGACAGGAUGAAGAGACAGCGAAGUCGAUGCGCUCCAUCAUGGGGAAUCUGACGACGCGCAUCGACGACCUCAAGAUGUCGAUCGGUGUGGACAUGGACGAGCUCCGCGCCGGCCUGGAUCGACCGCCUGCCGCUCCGACGACGACUCCUACAGGACGGCCCCCGCAGGCAAAGCAAGGUGCGUACAGCAAUCCCGACGCGGCACCGGAGAGCAGCCACAGAGCUACUUCAGCCAAGGGAAAGGAUCAUGUUCCUUACGUUCCGCCACCGGCCAGAGGGCCAGCAGCACGAUGGUUGGAAUCGGUUCAACGUAGAGUGCCAAAUGCGCCGUGGGAGGAUUUCUGUAGGUUAUUGCAGUGCAGAUUUGGGCGCAACCAGCAUCAGGCAUUGGUGCGCAAAUUCCACAGCAUUACUCAGACGGGUUCAGUGGAGGAUUAUGUGGAGCAAUUUGCUGAGCUCUAUGAUCAGUUGUCUGCAUACGAAGCGGUACCUGAAUCAGUGCACUAUGUCACCAAAUUCAUCGAUGGUCUGAAUCCUUCUGUUAGAGUUUUGGUGGCACUACAGCAGCCGACAGAUUUGGAUGCUGCUUAUGAAUUAGCCUUGUUGCAUGAAUCCCUAACCAAUUUGAUUCCUCAGUAUCAUCAAUCGAAUAGGAGGCAACAAUUUUCACACCCAGCAUCCACGGUUAAGACAGUUGCUAGCAAAACCACCGACGACAGGCGAAACAGUUCAAAGGAACUGCUGGAUGAGUACAAGGAUGUAUUUGCUAUUCCCACUGGAUUACCACCGGAGAGAGCUUGUGAUCACUCUAUACCACUUAUUCCAGGUGCAAGACCAUUUUCUCAUAGACCAUACAGAUUAGCUCCAGAACUUAAGGAUGAGGUGGAAAAGCGGAUACAAGAGAUGCUAGACUUUGGUGGUGAGGGUUUGCAGUUUGAUUGGUGGCUGCGGCGGUGGCGGAAUUGGCGGCGACGAGGCGGCGGCGUUGUGACGGGGUCGUGGCACGGCGGCGCCCAGCUCUACGUGUCGCUCAAGAUGGAGAACGCGCGGAUCAUUGGCGACCUCGUGCCGCACCUCGCGGUGGAAAGGGAGCUGGCGUCCAUGCGGGAGCUCAGCUUAGUUGUGUUGCCGGACCAUGAAACACUUGACUUCAAAUUCUUGCUCAAGCCCAAGGACGCGGAGACCCCGUGCAUCACUGAGGAACGGCUGACGCGGCUCCUCACCAGGGGCAUGCUCCAGGAAACACUUGACUUCAAAUUCUUGCUCAAGCCCAAGGACGCGGAGACCCCGUGCAUCACUGAGGAACGGCCGACGCGGCUCCUCACCAGGGGCAUGCUCCAGGGUGAUGUGAGGCUUGCAAACUUCAGGCUUAAUGGAGAUGAUCAGUUGCUUGAAUCCGACGCCGUUCCAGCUUAUCGUUGCCUCGCCGCCGUGAAAAAGUUGGGAAAGGGGAAGGAGGCUAUCGUCUUGCGGUUGGGCCGGAGUAGGGGUGAGUUGGAUGCCGCUGAUGUCUUCGUGCAACGGAGGAGGGUUAGGGUUUGCUAUUUGAUUGGUGGCUGCGGCGGCGGCGACGGAGUUGGCGGGGACGAGGGCGGCGGCGCCGUGACGGGGUCGUGGCAUGGCAGCGCCCAGCUCUACGUGUCGCUCAAGAUGGAGAACGUGUGGAUCAUUGGCGACCUCGUGCCGCACCUCGCGAUGGAAAGGGAGCUGGCGAACAUGCGGGAGGUCAGCUUAGUUGUGUUGCCGGACCAUGAAACACUUGAGUUCAAAUUCUUGCUCAAGCCCAAGGACGCGGAGACCCCGUGCAUCACUGAGGAACGGCCGACGCGGCUCCUCACCAGGGGCAUGCUCCAGGGUGAUGUGAGGCUUGCAAACUUCAGGCUUAAUGGAGAUGAUCAGUUGCUUGAGUAUAAAUGA
rnacentral:rRNA from 1 species